CAUAGAUGAAAGAUAAUUUCGAUACAUCAAAUAGGUGUGCAGACGUCUCUACAAACAUUAUUUUUUAAGAAUAUUUGAAAAAUAUUAUUUAGAAAUCACCGAAAUUGGCGACAAAAUGGAAUCAAUACAGCAUUCUUGAUGAAGAAUUAAGGUUACCAGACAAAAUUAAAAAGGGGCAUGGCACUUCCCAUACCAUAGACAUUUUUCAUAGCACAUGUAAUCGAAAAUCUCAGUUGUUGAGAUCAAGAUCGCAUAUUAUAAUCUGAGCAAGUCUAUCGAAAUUUUUCCGAUGUGUGGUACUUUCAGUCGAGGUUUUAUGCAAUGAGCAAUGAGAAUAGGUGCCGAAAACCCAAACCGACUAAAAAUAAGGUGAGUCGGAAAAGAAACUUUACGUUCAAGCUUAUCAAAGUAUGAAAAUUAUUCACCGUAAAUAUGCGUAAGUCGGAUUAAUCUGUUUUUAUGUGCAUUUUUUAGACGAAAAACAGAAG